rnacentral:lncRNA from 1 species
GGACAUGUGUUCGUACACAAGAAUCUUCUCAUCUUUGUGGUUGCAGAAUAAUCCUAUUGGAAGUGGAACUCAAUUUCCUUCUUGAACUUCCAUAGGUCGGUUUUGCGAUUCAACCUCUUCAAUGCCACUGUGAAAUCACUUGCACCAUUAUGUUUGAUACAACAUUUGUAUACUCUAUUAUAUGCUGAUAUUUCAGUUAAAUGGUUUGCAUCAAAGUUGUUG